GAUGAACGCUGGCGGCGUGCUUAACACAUGCAAGUCGAACGGUGAAGCCAAGCUUGCUUGGUGGAUCAGUGGCGAACGGGUGAGUAACACGUGAGCAACCUGCCCUGGACUCUGGGAUAAGCGCUGGAAACGGCGUCUAAUACUGGAUAUGAGCUCCUACCGCAUGGUGGGGGUUGGAAAGAUUUUUUGGUCUGGGAUGGGCUCGCGGCCUAUCAGCUUGUUGGUGAGGUAAUGGCUCACCAAGGCGUCGACGGGUAGCCGGCCUGAGAGGGUGACCGGCCACACUGGGACUGAGACACGGCCCAGACUCCUACGGGAGGCAGCAGUGGGGAAUAUUGCACAAUGGGCGAAAGCCUGAUGCAGCAACGCCGCGUGAGGGAUGACGGCCUUCGGGUUGUAAACCUCUUUUAGCAGGGAAGAAGCGAAAGUGACGGUACCUGCAGAAAAAGCGCCGGCUAACUACGUGCCAGCCGCCGCCGUAA
rnacentral:rRNA from 1 species